UCCAUCUCCUUCUUCUUCUCGCGAUUUUCUGCUAGGGCUCGCGUCAAGCUUCACCCAUUUCUGCAUUCUUCUGCCUUCCUCACCACCGGCCGGUGGCUUAUCCCCUUCCCUUCAUUGUCGCCGGCCGGCCAGCCCAAACCUUUCCUUCUUCUCCGAUCUGCUCACACCUGCGAUGGAUGUCAACUUCGAUGAUCCUGUGAGCGACGACGACCUCAGUAAGGGGUUCUCUGACGGUGUAGCGUUCCGCGCCGGCGCAGUGGAUUCCCCUCAUCUUCCGGUCCUUAUUGAAGAGCGGCGGCCAAUCUAGGGUUCCUUGACGGUGGAGCAUUCUCCUCCAGAGAGGCACUCCUAGACCACUCUUACCUCUGAAGGUCUCCUUACCUACGGUGUUACGAACGUAGGGAGUUUUAAGCAGAGGAAUCCGUCUGUUUUUUCCUCUUCUCCGCUGUUUUCAUCUUCUCCGGUGGAAGCUGCUGUGGAGCUCUUCUUCUGUGGACGACGUUCUGAGAGCAGAAGUCUCCAUCUCAGUGUGUAUUCCAACUCCGGAAAAAUCACUCCAAUUCUGGCAGAUCAUUCAAGAAAAGUUAUUCGUGAUCAAGGGCAGUCGUUGUGUUGCUGCUCACCGGUGCUGGCGUCCCAAGUCCGGGCCCUUCGUGUGACGACGAAGGGUAGUGAGCUCGCAGUUGAUCGUGGAAAAGGAAGUUUAGUUAAUUUAGUUUCUUUUCUUGUUUGAUUGUGUUAUGUUUGGUUAACUUAGUUUAAUUCAUGUUGAUGUUUGUUAAUUGUAGUUGAAUUUUUGUAUUGUACUCAAUUCCCUAUGUUUAAAUUGCAUUGAUCUUACUUCAUUUGUUUCAUGCACAUAACAUGUUCGUUGUAUUGCUUCAACCAUUAGUUAAGUUAAAUUGCUUCAACUAUUAAUUAAGUCUAAUUUGAUGAAUUUUAUUUUGUUUAAUUAUUGUUUUAUUUUGUUCUUUCAAUUUUUUUAAGUCUUAGUUUUGAUUGAAUGCAACUAGGAUAUAUUAGUAUAAAUUUUAUUACAUGCUUUAAGUUUUGUUCAUGCUUAGUUUUGUUGAUGUUUUACUUCAUAUUGUCUUUUAUUUUUUGCAAUUGUAGUUAGGAUAGACUUACUUUUCAUUAUUUGCAUUAUCUUUCAUUUACUAGAUUAGGUUUCAUAUAAUGUUUUGUUAUUUCAUUCCUUAGUUUAUUUUCAUUGAUGGUGAAAUCGUAGCAUAGAGUGGUAAUGCGUUGUGAGAUCACUAUUAAUGGAUAGAUAGGAUUUUGUUCAUUUCAUGAGGAUAAAUUUCAUACUUAUUUUGUUAUCUCAUUUGUUAGGUUUAGAAUCAAAAUCUAAAACCCCUAUUUCUAUAUAAAAAAAAUCUAAAAAAUAUGAAUAACAAACAAUCCUAGAUUACCAUCCUAUCGUAGCAUUCAUUGGGAGACGACCUGAGUCAUUUCUAUAUUGCAUUAGUGUAGUUAGAGGGUUCAAUACUUAAAUUCUUUUGAUAUCGUUUCACGAUAAAAAUGAACAUUAUCAAAAAUUAGCGUCGUUGUCGAGGAAGUGUUUGUGGUGUUUUGUGAUCUUAGAAUUAUUUUUCUAGUUUUCUGAAAAUUUUUUUUGUUUGGUGCCUUGAUUAUUUUAUGCUUUAUAUAUUCAUGUGUUUUGUUAUGAUUACUUAUUGUGUUUGGUGAUUUCAUUGUCAUUGUUUCAGGUAAGAUAAGGAAAUUCUUUGAGUUUGACAUGGAUUUUUAUUCUCAGCAAUUUAGAGACUUCAAUGAAUAUCAUAAUUCGGAUAUUGGGUGAGUGAUGCACAUAUGUAUUAAUUGUGACAGUCAUUCUCAUCUAGUUGCUAUAUACCACCUCAUCCAAAAGACUGCUAGAUUUUCUAUGGAAUCUCAGUAUUCCCAACUUCAAUAUCAAGAUGCAUAUGAUCUAGCUCCUAGCACAUAUAAUCAUGAUUGGGAUUCCUAAGCAGUAUGUGGAUACACAGCAAUAGGUUAUUUAGCAUCCUCGGUGUUACAAUUCAGACUAGAAGGACCAUCAAAAUUUCAUGUAUGGGAACGUGCAACAAUAAUUGAAUCAAUCUUUUUAAGCAUAUUAGAGGCUAUUGGGAUUCCAAGAUGACUCAAUGCUUACAUGGUCACAAACAUUUUAGCAAGUCAAACUCAUGUUUUCGGAUACAUUCAAGGGCUCUAAUGAAGAAAUAUAUGUGCUAGAAUGUGAAGAGAGCAUGUAAGUUACCUUGCAGUCGCAAUAAUAAGCCACUCUGGAUGCAGCAAGAAUACAAAAUUUGAAGAUUCGGUUAGACCAAAUGACAUCAUUCAUCGGCUAGAUGCUUGCACAAGGUACAAGUCUGUCUCUCUCAAAGGACAUUUCUGAUGAUAUCGACAUGCCUGAGGAGAUGGAUUGUAGAGUUAGUGGUAUUCUUGUAUCUAAUUCAACUGUUCUACAAGACUCCACUAUUUCUUUGUGCUGUGAUGAUGAAGUUGUCAUUGAUGCAAGCACUAUUGAUGAUACAUGUAAAAUAUUGGAUGAAAAUAUUGAUAUUACAAAUAUUGUUGAUGAAGAUAUUAUUAUGUCA